rnacentral:rRNA from 1 species
AUUGAACGCUGGCGGCAUGCUUUACACAUGCAAGUCGAACGGCAGCGCGGGCUUCGGCCUGGCGGCGAGUGGCGAACGGGUGAGUAAUGCAUCGGAACGUGCCCAGUAGUGGGGGAUAGCCCGGCGAAAGCCGGAUUAAUACCGCAUACGACCUGAGGGUGAAAGCGGGGGACCGAAAGGCCUCGCGCUAUUGGAGCGGCCGAUGUCGGAUUAGCUAGUUGGUGGGGUAAAGGCUUACCAAGGCGACGAUCCGUAGCUGGUCUGAGAGGACGACCAGCCACACUGGGACUGAGACACGGCCCAGACUCCCAAGGGAGGCAGCAGUGGGGAAUUUUGGACAAUGGGGGCAAGCCUGAUCCAGCCAUGCCGCGUGGGGGAAGAAGGCCUUCGGGUUGUAAAACCCUUUUGUUCGGGAAGAAAACCUCUUGGCUAAUACCCCGGGGGGAUGACGGUACCCGAAGAAUAAGCACCGGCUAACUACGUG